CGGAGGGUGCAAGCGUUAUCCGGAUUUACUGGGUUUAAAGGGUGCGUAGGUGGAUUGGGAAGUCAGUGGUGAAAUACUACAGCGCAACUGUGGAACUGCCAUUGAUACUAUCAAUCUUGAAUACAGUGGAGGCAGGCGGAAUGUGUCAUGUAGCGGUGAAAUGCUUAGAUAUGACACAGAACACCUAUUGCGAAGGCAGCUUGCUACACUGUCAUUGACACUGAGGCACGAAAGCGUGGGGAUCAAACAGGAUUAGAUACCCUGGUAGUCCACGCCCUAAACGAUGUUCACUCGAUCUCGGCGAUACACAGUCGGGGUCUAUGCAAAAGCAUUAAGUGAACCACCUGGGGAGUACGAUCGCAAGAUUG
rnacentral:rRNA from 1 species